rnacentral:rRNA from 1 species
CGCGGUAAUUCCAGCUCCAAUAGCGUAUACUAAAGUGUUGCAGUUAAAAAGCUCGUAGUUGGAUUUCUGGCGGGGACGGCUGGUCGGUCUCGAAAGGGGCUGUACUGUUGUUGGUUCCCGUCAUCCUUGGGGAGAGCGGCUUUUACAUUAAGUUGUCGGCGUCGGGAUCCCUAUCUUUUACUGUGAAAAAAUUAGAGUGUUCAAAGCAGGCUUAGGCCCUGAAUACAUUAGCAUGGAAUAAUAAGAUACGACCUUGGUGGUCUAUUUUGUUGGUUUGCACGCCAAGGUAAUGAUUAAUAGGGAUAGUUGGGGGUAUUCGUAUUCAAUUGUCAGAGGUGAAAUUCUUGGAUUUAUGGAAGACGAACUACUGCGAAAGCAUUUACCAAGGAUGUUUUCAUUAAUCAAGAACGAAAGUUAGGGGAUCGAAGAUGAUUAGAUACCAUCGUAGUCUUAACCAUAAACUAUGCCGACUAGGGAUCGGUGGGUGCAUUUUUAGGCCUCAUCGGCACCUUAUGAGAAAUCAAAGUCUUUGGGUUCCGGGGGGAGUAUGGUCGCAAGGCUGAAACUUAAAGAAAUUGACGG